CGGGGAUGUCAAAGCGUACAAUAGUUUUUUUUCCAAAUUCUCUUCGUGUGUCAAGGUGAUUUCGAAUUUUCAUCAUUUUUGUUUCGAAAUCAUCCUAAAUAUCAUAAAAAAGGGAUAUUGUCCACACAGAUGCUUUAUUUGGGUGUUAUCCACUAUCGACUUGUACCGCAGCCGGAAGAAGCCAUCCAUUGUGUUACAAGCUGUUAAUAACUUGUAAAACUUGUUCCGGAAAGUUGAAAAGAUGCGAGGAGGAUUUUGCAUUUAAAUUUAUGUGGACCGCUGCCUAUAAAUUGUAAAAUAAUCUUCCAAAAAUGUACUUCAAAACGAGACAGAAAUCUCUGAAAAGUAAGAAUGGACCCAAAAGAGAUGUUGUCAAAGUAUACUCGCAAAAGAAUCUCAAAGAAAAACUACAGCGGAAAACAACAGAAUCCCAGUUUCCGGAUGUCAACGGGAUUUUUUUUUGUGAGGAGCAGACAUUUUCCUGUUAAUUUAAUCCACAAAUUGUUGAAAUCUACUGGUUUAUGCUAAAUAAAGUUCAUUUCACCGUAUUAAUCGCUCAGACCACUGGAAAUAGUCUUUGCUGAGAUUCAACUCACGUUUCUGCGUUUGAAAGACUGAUACAUAUCUGUUUACUUGACUUAUAUUUGACAAAGACC